GACGAACGCUGGCGGCGUGCUUAACACAUGCCAGUCGAACGGAAAGGCCCUGCUUUUGUGGGGUGCUCGAGUGGCGAACGGGUGAGUAACACGUGAGUAACCUGCCCUUGACUUUGGGAUAACUUCAGGAAACUGGGGCUAAUACCGGAUAGGAGCUCCUGCUGCAUGGUGGGGGUUGGAAAUUUUCGGCGGUUGGGGAUGGACGCGCGGCUUAUCAGCUUGUUGGUGGGGUAGGGGCUUACCAAGGCUUUGACGGGUAGCCGGCCUGAGAGGGUGACCGGCCACAUUGGGACUGAGAUACGGCCCAGACUCCUACGGGAGGCAGCAGUGGGAAAUAUUGCACAAUGGGCGGAAGCCUGAUGCAGCAACGCCGCGUGCGGGAUGACGGCCUUCGGGUUGUAAACCGCUUUCGCCUGUGACGAAGCGUGAGUGACGGUAAUGGGUAAAGAAGCACCGGCUAACUACGUG
rnacentral:rRNA from 1 species